AUUCAACACAAGGUGGUGAUAUCGCGUAUUAACAGUGGAAUGCAAAAACAGGAAGUGAUGUCAGAGUAUAAACAGGAAGUUCCAGGUGAACGGUGAUUCGGGAGGACGUAGAGAGGAGACAUUGCUAGAACUGGCAGCAGAGGAGUUUGAUCCCGGUUGCUGCCAAUCCCACAAUCCAUCUUUAGAAGGAUACAAGGACGUCAUGAUGGAGAAUCAGCCGCCCCUCACAUCACCGGAUGGAUCCAGUAAUGGGAACCCACCAGAGAGAUGU